GUAGUGAAGCCUAGCGAACUACCGACAGUGGCGAACGGGUGCGUAUCACGUGGAUUACAUUCCGAAAAGAUGAGAAUAGCCCAGGGAAACUUGGAGUAAUUAUCAAUACGCCCGAAAGGGCAAAGAUGGGGACCGCAAGGCCUGUUGCUUUUCGCUUGGUCUGCGGCCUAUCAGCUAGUUGGUGAGGUAACGGCUCACCAAGGCGACGACGGGUAGCUGGUCUUAGAGGAUGAUCAGCCACACUGGAGCUGAGACACGGUCCAGACACCUACGGGUGGCAGCAGUCGAGAAUCUUUCACAAUGGGGGAAACCCUGAUGGAGUGACGCCGCGUGGAGGAUAAGGUCUUAGGAUUGUAAACUCCUGUCAUGCGAGAACAACUCGGCAAGAUUAACAGACUUGGUGCCUGAUAGUAUCGCAAGAGGAAGAGGCGGCAAACUCUGUGCCAGCAGCCGCGGUAAUACAGAGGCCUCAAGCGUUGUUCGGAAUUACUGGGCGUAAAGGGUGUGCAGGCCGCGCCGAUAGUCUGUUGCGAAAACUUCAGGCUCAACCUGAAUCCCGCAAUCGAAACUUCAGCGCUAGAGGUUCAAAGAGGGAAUUGGAAUUCACGGAGUAGCAGUGAAAUGCGUAGAGAUCGUGAGGAACACUAAAGGCGAAGGCAGAUUCCUAGUUGAAACCUGACGCUCAAACACGAAGGCCAGGGUAGCAAACGGGAUUAGAUACCCCGGUAGUCCUGGCAGUAAACGGUGCGCGCUUGGUUUGAGUUGGUUAGACCCAAUUUGAGCCGGAGCUAACGCGUUAAGCGCGCCGCCUGGGAAGUACGGUCGCAAGACUAAAACUCAAAGAAAUUGACGGGGACCCGCACAAGCGGUGGAGUAUGUGGCUUAAUUCGAUGCAACGCGAAGAACCUUACCUGGGCUUGACCUGCGGUUGAUAUGUGCCGAAAUGCACAACCGAAGCAAUUCGGCUACCGCGCAGGUGCUGCAUGGCUGUCGUCAGCUCGUGUCGUGAGAUGUUGGGUUAAGUCCCGCAACGAGCGCAACCCCUAUAGUUUGUUGCAAAUCGCAAGAUGCACUCUAACUAGACUGCCUAGAUUAACUAGGAGGAAGGUGGGGAUGACGUCAAGUCCUGAUGGCCCUUACGUCCAGGGCUGCACACGUACUACAAUGCAUAGCACAAAAAGAACCCAGAUCGCGAGAUUAGGGAAAUCAAUAAAGCUAUGCCUAGUUCGGAUUGUAGGCUGCAACUCGCCUGCAUGAAGUUGGAAUCGCUAGUAAUGGCACAUCAGCUACGGUGCCGUGAAUACGUUCCCGGGUCUUGUACACACCGCCCGUCACAUCAUGGAAAUUGACAUCGCCCCAAAUGACGACAGUCCUGAAGGCAACGCCGAUAACUGGGA
rnacentral:rRNA from 1 species